UACAGAGACUGCAAGCGUUAUUCGGAUUCACUGGGCGUAAAGGGUGCGCAGGCGGUCGGGUGUGUCAGAUGUGAAAUCCCGAGGCUCAACCUCGGAACUGCGUCUGAAACUACUCGACUAGAGUACUGGAGAGGGUAACGGAAUUCACGGUGUAGCAGUGAAAUGCGUAGAUAUCGUGAGGAACACCAGAGGCGAAGGCGGUUACCUGGACAGUUACUGACGCUCAGGCACGAAGGCUAGGGGAGCAAACGGG
rnacentral:rRNA from 1 species